rnacentral:lncRNA from 1 species
AAAUCCAGCAAGUUUAGACAAGAUAGAAAGUAAGGAAGACAGAAGGUGGGUAGCGAGGAAGAAAUCCAAUAGCCUGCUCACGAUUCAACUUCCUAUUCAAGUGAAUCCGCCUGGAGCGAGCCGUGGGUAGCGAGGAAGAAAUCCAAUAGCCUGCUCACGAUUCAACUUCCUAUUCAAGUAAAUCCGCCUGGAGUGAGCCUAGUCUGGGAUCUUUCCCCAUAGCUUUCUUUCUUUGUUCUUUAUCGCCUGAUCUUUCUUUUCGUUGUUGAAUCUCUCUUUGAUUAAUCAAUGUGUGAUAUUCCUUUCCAAGAUAAACCAUUCGAAUGCUACUAAACGAGAAGAAGAGUCUAUUUGAACAGGGCACAUGCAUCACACAUAAGAAAGACGCCGAAAGACAACCAAGAAAUUUGUCCGUUUCGGCCUACUUUGGCCUUUAUACGAUAAAGUACAUCAAGAAGCUUCUAAUUGCAAUAGAAGGGUCCAGGUCAGAAUUUGCAGGUAGUUAGUCGCUUUCUCUGU